UCGGACAUUUCACUGCUGAACGAUGUAUGCCACUCGGCUUCUCAUUAAGCAACAUCAUUAAGUAAUACCUACCAUUAAAUAAUUCGGCUCAUUCCCAUACAAACCGACCUAGAGAACAGAUCCAACAUGUUUCCUAUUAUUUAGCACCAAAAACUCACCCGAUCCUUAUCAAUUACCAACCAUCCUCAAAAUUAGACCCUCAAAUUGUCUCAUGCACCCAAAUACUAGGAUUGAUUGAACCAAGAACCUCUUAUUAUGGCUUGAUAUUUUAUCUUUUUGACUGUAUUUCAAGAAAAGUUUACAUGUUUUAAACUCAAAACUGAAGAAAUUGUUGGCAUUUCUCGAAGAAGUGUGAAGGGAUUUCAACACCGAUCAUAAUUUUUAAAGCUCAGUCCCUUUUUAUCAAACUUUAAAGUAGAUAUUGAAGUUGUUAUCCAAAAGUGUGCUUCUUCGGUAAAAGAGCUGGGAACAUUCAGAUGGUGCCAUUGGCCUCGGCAAUAGUAGAGGUUGAAAAUAGUCAUAACUGGAGAUGGUUUGUCAACAUUCUAAGUGGUCAUCUUCAGCUGGGAGGUAGGAUAGAAUUGAUAGUUAUUACAGACAUACAGAAGGGGCUGGAGACAAUAAUCAGAGAGCUUCUACUAAAUGUAGAACAUAAGAUGUGUGUCAAGCUCAUUCUAGCUAACUGGUCCAAGAAUUGGAGAGGAUUGAGAGAAGAAACGCUUUUGGAGAUGUACUAGGUCUACAUGAGCAAAAAUUCAAGAACAAUCUGGAUAAUUUGGCUAAACUAGGCAAUAAAAUAGUUGAUGACCAACUGUGGUACAACAAAGGAAGGUGUUGCAAUAUUUAUUUCAAAUAUUUCGGCAACUAUGAUAGUGUUGACAACAAUAUGGCUGAAAAUUUUAAUUCAUGGAUAUUGGGGCCAAGGUACAAGACUACUAUCACAAUGCUUAAGAGAUAAGGGUGAUGAAGAUGAGAAGAAUAGCAUAAAUGAGAGAAUUCUGUAAUACUUGGAUCACUAAUAUAUCUCUAAUUAUACUAAAGGUAUUGCAAGAGAACACAACAAGGUCAAUGAAGUAUAUGGUUGAGUGGAAUGGUGAAUAUGAGGGUGAAAUCAAGGAAGGAGAAAAAGUAAUUCAGGAUCGAUUUCGAAGUAUGAAUCUCAUGUUAGAAGUUUUAAGUUGGAAGAGUUGACUAAGUUUGAUUUUUAUGUAUUUGACUCCAGAUCAGAGUUUUGAUAGUUUCGUUUGGUCCGGAUGGUGAUUUUGGAUUUGGGCAUAUAUCCGGAUUUGCAUUUGGAUGUUUCUUGAAGGUUUUGGCGUUAAUUGACGAAUGUUGGUAAUUUGGAGUUUUGGAAUAUUCAUAAGUUUGACUGAAAGUUGACUUUGAUGAUAUCGGGUUCAAAUUGCGGUUCUGAGAAUUGGAGUAGUUUCGUUAUGUCAUUUGGAACUUGUUUACAAAAUUUAAGGUCAUUCCGAUUUGAUUUUAUAUGGUUCGGCACGUGUUUUAGAAGUUGAAAGUUUAAAAGUUCAUUAAGCUAUAUUUGAGGUGCGAUACGUGGUUUUGAU